AGUUCUGCGGGCGGAGGACUAGCACCAGCCAUGAUUAGUGUGGCACCGCCAGUGGCGUACAAGGGGACAACAGAGUUGGAGGCGCCCCGGUCGGGGGAAGAAGAAGAAGAGGAAGGAAGGAGAGCUAGUGCUCUUCUUCCUUCCUUCCUUCCUUUCAGCCUUAGCCCUCGGGAGUCGAGAUGCCUACCCAGCGCGCCCGCGUUGCGGGGGGGGCAGUCCGUACCUUACUCCGCAGCAGGUCUCCAAGGUGUUCAGCCUCUGGUCGAUAGAUCAAUGUAGGUAAGGGAAGUCGGCAAGUUAGAUCCGUAACUUCGGGACAAGGAUUGGCUCUGAGGGUCGAGCCAUGCCGGGCCCACAGCCGGAAGCGGUCCCUCGUUCCCCUGGCGGGUCGGCCGCCGGUGCGGCGCGGAGGCGGCGGCGAGGAGGGGGCCCAAGGGUGCCCUUGGCGGUCGGCGCCGCGGCGUUUCUGUCCGCUCCGAGGGAGAAGGACUGGGCGAGGGGCGGCCUUUCACGAGGUCGCUCCGAGCUCGGACCCGACCCCGCAGGGGCGGCUGCCGUGCCUGCGGCUGCUCGCCUGCCGCUGGUGCCCUCCCCUCCGCUCGAGCCGCGCAGCCCGAGCGCCCGCCGGCAUCACGCGCCCCCGCCGUCGCGGGUCGGGACCAACGCGGAAGGCGCCUCUCGGGCAAAGGCCGGGGUUUCCCUCCCGUUUCCCCGGCCGCGGCUGGCAACAGACGGCCGUCUCAGAACUGGCACGGACCAGGGGAAUCCGACUGUUUAAUUAAAACAAAGCAAUGCGAUGGUCGGUGAUCGAUGCUGACGCAUUGUGAUUUCUGCCCAGUGCUCUGAAUGUCAAAGUGAAGAGAUUCAACCAAGCGCGGGUAAACGGCGGGAGUAACUAUGACUCUCUUAAGGUAGCCAAAUGCCUCGUCAUCUAAUUAGUGACGCGCAUGAAUGGAUUAACGAGAUUCCCACUGUCCCUACCUACUAUCUAGCGAACCCACAGGCAGGGGAACGGGCCUGCAGUUAACGGCGGGGAAAGAAGACCCUGUUGAGCUUGACUCUAGUUUGGCUUUGUAGAGAGGCACCUGAGGUGUAGCAUAAGUGGGAGGGCGCUCGCGCCCGACGAUGAAAUACCACUACUCUGGUCGUCUCUCUACUUACUCGGUGAUGCGGGAGCGGGAGGCGUGACGGGGUUCGGGCAUGCGAGCGGGCCGGCGGCCCCCCGGGGCUCAGCCGCGCCCUCCUCCUGCCCGUCUUCCCUAUGCCUCUACCGAUUUUAGACUGCAAGUGACAUGAACAAGAGCGGCCGCCUCCCCGGGGGGCGAAAGGGGCUUCUCCGCGCGGGGGCGGUCGUCGCCGCCGCUCGCGGCGCGCGUCGCGACCCGUUCCGAGGACAGAGCCAGAUGGGGAGUUUGACUGGGGCGGUACAUCUGUCAAACGAUAACGCAGAUGUCCCAAGGUCAGCUCAGCGUGGACAGAAACCACGUGUAGAGCCCAAGGGCAAAUGCUGGCUUGAUCCGGACUCUCAGUACGAGCACGGACUGCGAAAGCACGGCCUACGAUCCUCCUGCCCGUCUUCCCUAUGCCUCUACCGAUUUUAGACUGCAAGUGACAUGAACAAGAGCGGCCGCCUCCCCGGGGGGCGAAAGGGGCUUCUCCGCGCGGGGGCGGUCGU
rnacentral:rRNA from 1 species